GUUUCUGUAGUGUAGUGGUUAUCACAUUUGCCUUACAUACGAAGGGUCCCCAGUUCAAAACUGGGUAGAAACA